rnacentral:rRNA from 1 species
CCUACGGGGGGCAGCAGUCGAGAAUCAUUCACAAUGGGGGAAACCCUGAUGGUGCGACGCCGCGUGGGGGAAUGAAGGUCUUCGGAUUGUAAACCCCUGUCAUGUGGGAGCAAAUUAAAAAGAUAGUACCACAAGAGGAAGAGACGGCUAACUCUGUGCCAGCAGCCGCGGUAAUACAGAGGUCUCAAGCGUUGUUCGGAAUCACUGGGCGUAAAGCGUGCGUAGGCUGUUUCGUAAGUCGUGUGUGAAAGGCGCGGGCUCAACCCGCGGACGGCACAUGAUACUGCGAGACUAGAGUAAGGGAGGGGGAACCGGAAGUCUCGGUGUAGCAGUGAAAUGCGUAGAUAUCGAGAGGAACACUCGUGGCGAAGGCGGGUUCCUGGACAUUAACUGACGCUGAGGCACGAAGGCCAGGGGAGCGAAAGGGAUUAGAUACCCCUGUAGUC